AUGGAGACGGGGCGGCGGGCGAGCAGCAGCAAGCGCGCGGAGUCCGGCGCACCGCCCAAGGUGGUGGCCGUCCUCGCCGGCCUGCUCGAGCGCGCCGCCAAGCGCGGCGACGCUGUGGAAUGCGGCUCCGGCUCGGCGGCGUUCCGGGGCCCGACGGAGAAGAAGCCGGAGAUCGGCGUGCGGCGGUACGCGGAGCGCAUAUACCGGUACGCCGGGUGCAGCCCCGCGUGCUUCGUCGUCGCCUACGCCUACCUCGACCGCCUCGCCGCGCCACCGCAGGAUGAUGAUGCCGGCGAGGCGGUGGCCGUGGACUCGUACAGCGUGCACCGCCUGCUCAUCACCAGCGUCAUGGUCGCCGCCAAGUUCAUGGACGACAUACACUACAACAACGCCUACUUCGCGCGGGUGGGCGGCGUGGAGCUGCGGGAGAUGAACGGCCUCGAGCUGGAGUUCCUCUUCGCGCUGCGAUUCCGCCUCAACGUCACGCCCGACGACUUCACAUCCUACUGCGCCGCGCUCGAGGGCGAGAUGAUGACCACCACCACGCCGCCGGCGGUCAUGGCCUCGGUCUCGGUCUCGCCGGAGGAGGAGGAAGAGGACACCGCGGCCGUCACGGCAGGAGGCACCAUCACAGCCUUCGCGGCGGCUGCUCGGGUAUCGGUGGCCGAGAUCACCCAAUGA
rnacentral:rRNA from 1 species